ensembl:lncRNA
GGAAUAUGGGGACAUGGGGGGAUAUGGGAAUACAGGGGGGAUAUGGGGACAUGGGGGGGAUAUGGGCACGUGGGGGGGAUAUCGGGACGUGGGGGGAUAUGGGGACGUGGGGGAGAUAUGGGGGGAUAUAUGGACAUGGGGGGAUAUGGGGAGACAGGGAAAGGUCUGUGAUUCUAUAGGGCCCUAUGGCCACAAUGAGGUUCUAUGGGGCUCCAUGGGGCUCCAUGGGGCUCUAUGGGGCUCCAUAGGUCUCUAUGGGGCUCUAUGGGGCUCUAUGGGGUUCAGUGGAAAUCUACGGGCACAAUGGGGCUCUGUGGGGUUCUGUGGGGCUCCACUGGUCUCUAUGGGGCUCUAUGGGGUUCUGUGGGGCUCCACUGGUCUCUAUGGGGCUCUAUGGGGUUCUGUGGGGCUCCACUGGGCUCUAUGGGGCUCCAUUGGGCUCUGUGGGGUUCUAUGGGGCUGCAUUGGCCUCUAUGGGACCCUAUGGGGCUCUAUGGAGUUCUAUGGGGCUCCAUUGGCCUCUAUGGGGCUGUAUGUGGUUCUAUGGGGCUCCAUUGGACUCUGUGGGGCUCUAUGGGGUUUUAUGGGGCUCUAUUGGGCUCCAUUGGUCUCUAUGGGGCUCCACUGGGCUCUAUAGGGCUCCAUUGGGCUCUGUGGGGUUCUAUGGGGCUGCAUUGGCCUCUAUGGGACCCUAUGGGUUCUAUGGGGCUCCCUAUGGGGUUCUAUGGGGUUCUAUGGGGCUCUAUGGGUCUCCAUUGGGCUCUAUGGGUCUCCAUUGGGCUCUAUGGGGUUCUAUGCGACUCCAUUGUGCACUAUGGGGCUCCAUUGGGCUCUAUGGGGCUCCAUUGGGCUCUAUGGGGUUCUAUGGGGCUCCAUCCCUAUAUCCAUCCCCACCCCCUAUGGGAUAUUAUGGGAUGGGAGGAUAUUAUGGGAUGAGGGGAUAUUAUGGGAUGCGGACGCACAGACAGCGCUGUGGGACCUCCGGGACCGCAGUGUUUAUUAUGGGAUGUCGGAGGCGCUGCGCACUGUGAGCUGUGCGGGAAUGUGGGGCACUGUGUGGGAUUCGGGGGCGCCCCAUUGGCUUUGGGGUCCCAGUGUGGGGUCGUUAUGGGGCAGAAGUGGGGUCAGUAUGGGGCAGCAAUGGGGUCAGUAUGGGGCAGCUAUGGGGUCAGUAUGGGGUCAGUAUGGGGCAGCUAUGGGGUCAGUAUGGGGUCACUAUGGGGUCAGUAUGGGAUCGCUAUGGGGCGGCAGUGGGGCCACUAUGGGACAGCAAUGGGGUCAGUAUGGGGUCGCUAUGGGGCAGCUAUGGGGUCAGUAUGGGGUCACUAUGGGGUCAGUAUGGGGUCAGUAUGGGGCCGCUAUGGGGCUGCUAUGGGGCAGCUAUGGGGUCAGUAUGGGGUCAGCAUGGGGCCGCGAUGGGGCUGCUAUGGGGUCAGUAUGGGGUCGCUAAUGGGCAGCUAUGGGGUCAGUAUGGGGUCAGUAUGGGGUCAGUAUGGGGUUGCUAAUGGGCAGCUAUGGGAUCAGUAAGGGGUCAGUAUGGGGUCAGUAUGGGGUCAGUAUGGGGUCGCUAUGGGGCGCUGUGGGUCGGUCAGGAGAACUCGUGGACGAAGGCGGUGUAGAACUGAGAGAUGGUGGCCACCAUCCGCUGCAGCGCCUCCAUGGGGGGCAGAAUGGUCAUCCUGCGGCAUCAGCGGGUAUGAAUGGGGGGUGUGGGGGGUGCGUGGGGCAGUGG